UUAGGUUGGUGCAAAAGUAAUCACAGUUUUUGCCAUCACUUUUAAAGAUAAAAACCAUGAUACUUUUGCACCAACCUA
rnacentral:miRNA from 1 species